UAAUUGGUAGCAUAAAAGAAGUGCAAAGGGUUUUGAUCUCUUUUGUGUAGGUUCAAUUCCUACCUAAUUAA
rnacentral:tRNA from 1 species